AAAGGGAGGAGCUCCGCCCAGAAAGCUUUUCAGCUCCUCGGAGAACAAUAUGGCAGUGUCCUAUAUAUGGCUUCCCUAGGAGUCGGAGGUGGCUUACAUUUCAAUCACACUCUUGAUGGUCUUGAAGGAAUACCUACCCUUGGCAUUCAGUAAAAUGGGAACACUUUGAUGACAAGAUUCUUCAGGCACAGAAUUAUAUAUAAUAUUUUAAUAGUAAAGCAUGAUUAUAUGUGCCAGACCUUCCUACGACUUCAGCAGAAAAAUAUUGUCCCUUGACUUUCAACUCUUGUCCUCUUGUUAUCCUCCAUUAUGAAAUAAUUUCUCGGGAGUACGAAGAUGAGCUUGGCAACUGAGAAGGCUGUUGCAGUGACAGCACAAUUUGCUUGAGAAUUUGU